UAGGGAAUCUUCGGCAAUGGACGAAAGUCUGACCGAGCAACGCCGCGUGAGUGAAGAAGGUUUUCGGAUCGUAAAACUCUGUUGUUAGAGAAGAACAAGGACGUUAGUAACUGAACGUCCCCUGACGGUAUCUAACCAGAAAGCCACGGCUAACUACGUGCCAGCAGCCGCGGUAAUACGUAGGUGGCAAGCGUUGUCCGGAUUUAUUGGGCGUAAAGCGAGCGCAGGCGGUUUCUUAAGUCUGAUGUGAAAGCCCCCGGCUCAACCGGGGAGGGUCAUUGGAAACUGGGAGACUUGAGUGCAGAAGAGGAGAGUGGAAUUCCAUGUGUAGCGGUGAAAUGCGUAGAUAUAUGGAGGAACACCAGUGGCGAAGGCGGCUCUCUGGUCUGUAACUGUCGCUGAGGCUCGAAAGCGUGGGGAGCAAACAGG
rnacentral:rRNA from 1 species